rnacentral:piRNA from 1 species
UCCACCCAGCUAUUCCUAAUUAUUGCUG